CUGCGAAACUGCGAAUGGCUCAUUAAAUCAGUUAUCGUUUAUUUGAUAGUGCCUUUUUACUCGGAUAACCGUGGUAAUUCUAGAGCUAAUACGUGCUACAAGUCCCAACUUCGGAAGGGACGUGUUUAUUAGAUUCAAAGCCAAUGCCUUUUAGGAUCGCUGGUGAUUCAUAAUAACCGCUCGAAUCGCACGGCCUCGCGCCGGCGAUGGUUCAUUCAAAUUUCUGCCCUAUCAACUUUCGAUGGCUGGGUAGUGGCCAGCCAUGGUGACAACGGGUAACGGAGGGUUAGGGCUCGACCCCGGAGAAGAAGCCAGAGUAACGGCUUCUACAUCCAAGGAAGGCAGCAGGCGCGCAAAUUACCCAAUCCCGAUACGGGGAGGUAGUGACAAUAAAUACUGAUACAGGGCUCUUUCGGGUCUUGUAAUUGGAAUGAGUACAAUUUAAAUCCCUUAACGAGGAACAAUUGGAGGGCAAGUCUGGUGCCAGCAGCCGCGGUAAUUCCAGCUCCAAUAGCGUAUAUUAAAGUUGUUGCGGUUAAAAAGCUCGUAGUUGAAACUCGGGCCCGGCCGGCCGGUCCGCCUCACCGCGAGCACUGGCUCGGCUGGGUCUUUUCCACUGGAGAACCUCAUGCCCUUCAUUGGGUGUGAUGGGGAACCAGGACUUUUACUUUGAACAAAUCAGAUCGCUCCAAGAAGGCCUUCGCCCGGAUGCAUUAGCAUGGAAUAAUGAAAUAGGACGUGCGGUUCUAUUUCGUUGGUUUCUAGGACCGCCGUAAUGAUUAAGAGGGACAGUCGGGGGCAUCAGUAUUCAGUUGUCAGAGGUGAAAUUCUUGGAUCUACUGAAGACUAACUACUGCGAAAGCAUUUGCCAAGGAUGUUUUCAUUAAUCAGGAACGAAAGUUGGGGGAUCGAAGACGAUCAGAUACCGUCGUAGUCUCAACCAUAAACCAUGCCGACUAGGGAUCGGACGAUGCUAUCUUAUGGCUCGUUCGGCACCUUACGCGAAAGCAAAGUUUU
rnacentral:rRNA from 1 species